UUGAGCCGUAUGCGGGGAAACUCGCACGUACGGUUCUUCGGGGGCCGCGUUUCCGGAAGGACAGCGGACUGGGCAAAACCCGCC
rnacentral:ribozyme from 1 species